GAUUGAUGGCUCAGUGAGGCGUUGGGACUGGCCCAGAGAGGUGGGCAACUACCACUCAGGGCCGGAAACUUCUCCAAACUCGGUCAUUUAGAGGAAGUAAAAGUCGUAACAAGGUCUCCGUUGGUGAACCAGCGGAGGGAUCAUUACCGAGUGUAAAAACUCCCAAACCAUUGUGAACCUACCACUGUUGCUUCGGCGGCCUCGCCCCGGGCGCGUUCGCGCGGCCCGGACCCAGGCGUCCGCCGGAGGCUCCAAACUCUUGUCUUUUAGUGUAUUUCUGAGUGGCAUAAGCAAAUAAAUCAAAACUUUCAGCAACGGAUCUCUUGGUUCUGGCAUCGAUGAAGAACGCAGCAAAAUGCGAUAAGUAAUGUGAAUUGCAGAAUUCAGUGAAUCAUCGAAUCUUUGAACGCACAUUGCGCCCGCCAGUAUUCUGGCGGGCAUGCCUGUCUGAGCGUCAUUUCAACCCUCAGGACCCGUUCGCGGGACCUGGCGUUGGGGAUCAGCCUGCCCCUGGCGGCGGCUGGCCCUGAAAUCCAGUGGCGGUUCCCUCGCGAACUCCUCCGUGCAGUAAUUAAACCUCUCGCGGCAGGAUAGCGGUUGAACCACGCCGUUAAACCCCCCACUUCUCAAGGUUGACCUCAGAUCAGGUAGGAAUACCCGCUGAACUUAAGCAUAUCAAUAAGCGGAGGAAAAGAAACCAACAGGGAUUGCCCUAGUAACGGCGAGUGAAGCGGCAACAGCUCAAAUUUGAAAUCUGGCCUCACGGUCCGAAUUGUAAUUUGUAGAGGAUGUUUCUGGCGACGUGUCUUCCGAGUUCCCUGGAACGGGACGCCAUAGAGGGUGAGAGCCCCGUCCGGUCGUACACCUAGCCUCUGUGAAACUCCUUCGACGAGUCGAGUAGUUUGGGAAUGCUGCUCUAAAUGGGAGGUAUACGUCUUCUAAAGCUAAAUACCGGCCAGAGACCGAUAGCGCACAAGUAGAGUGAUCGAAAGAUGAAAAGCACUUUGAAAAGAGGGUUAAAUAGUACGUGAAAUUGCUGAAAGGGAAGCGCUUAUGACCAGACUUGGGCUCGGUGAAUCAUCCGGCGUUCUCGCCGGUGCACUUUGCCGUCCCAGGCCAGCAUCAGUUCGCGCCGGGGGAUAAAGGUUUCGGGAAUGUAGCUCCCUCGGGAGUGUUAUAGCCCGUUGCGUAAUACCCUGGCGUGGACUGAGGUCCGCGCUCUGCAAGGAUGCUGGCGUAAUGGUCAUCAGUGACCCGUCUUGAAACACGGACCAAGGAGUCGUCUUCGUAUGCGAGUGUUCGGGUGUCAAACCCCUACGCGUAAUGAAAGUGAACGUAGGAGAGAGCUUCGGCGCAUCUCCGACCGAUCCUGAUGUUCUCGGAUGGAUUUGAGUAAGAGCAUACGGGGCCGGACCCGAAAGAAGGUGAACUAUGCCUGUAUAGGGUGAAGCCAGAGGAAACUCUGGUGGAGGCUCGCAGCGGUUCUGACGUGCAAAUCGAUCGUCAAAUAUGGGCAUGGGGGCGAAAGACUAAUCGAACC
rnacentral:rRNA from 1 species